rnacentral:misc_RNA from 1 species
AAGUCGUAACAAGGUAACCGUAGGUGAACCUGCGGUUGGAUCAUUAAAAAACUUCGGCAAGAACGUGGAGCUUGUGUGUGAGACUUGUGUGCUAACUUAGACCACAAGUCCCUCACGAGCCCUGUUUUUACGAACCCUGUGUGAACCGGUAAUAUUUAUUCCAUCCACGUAAUACGAAAUUUCUAGUCUAAAGUCUUCUUCAUAUCACGAGAAUAUGAUAAAAACAACUUUUGGCAACGGAUCUCUUGGCUCUC